GGCCUUGUGGCCUAGUGGAUAAGGCGUCGGACUUCGGAUCCGAAGAUUGCAGGUUCGAGCCCUGCCAGGGUCG
rnacentral:tRNA from 1 species